UUGGAGGGCAAGUCUGGUGCCAGCAGCCGCGGUAAUUCCAGCUCCAAUAGCGUAUAUUAAAGUUGUUGCAGUUAAAAAGCUCGUAGUUGAAUUUCGGGACCAAUUUGUUGGUCGUGCCUCGGUACGUACUGGUAUUAUUGGUUUCUCCCUUCUGAAGAACCAUGAUGCCAUUAAUUUGGUGUCGUGGGGAAUCAGGACUGUUACUUUGAAAAAAUUAGAGUGUUUAAAGCAGGCAUACGCUUGAAUACAUUAGCAUGGAAUAAUGAAAUAGGGCGUUUGAUUCUAUUUUGUUGGUUUCUAGGAUCGACGUAAUGAUUAAUAGGGAUAGUUGGGGGCAUUAGUAUUCAAUUGUCAGAGGUGAAAUUCUUGGAUUUAUUGAAGACUAACUACUGCGAAAGCAUUUGCCAAGGAUGUUUUCAUUAAUCAAGAACGAAAGUUAGGGGAUCGAAGACGAUCAGAUACCGUCGUAGUCUUAACCAUAAACUAUGCCGACUAGGGAUCGGAUGAUGUUAAUUUUUUAAUGACUCAUUCGGCGCCUUACGGGAAAC
rnacentral:rRNA from 1 species